rnacentral:rRNA from 1 species
AUGAACGCUAGCUACAGGCUUAACACAUGCAAGUCGAGGGGCAGCAUGAACUUAGCUUGCUAAGUUUGAUGGCGACCGGCGCACGGGUGAGUAACACGUAUCCAACCUGCCGAUGACUCGGGGAUAGCCUUUCGAAAGAAAGAUUAAUACCCGAUGGCAUAGUUCUUCCGCAUGGUAGAACUAUUAAAGAAUUUCGGUCAUCGAUGGGGAUGCGUUCCAUUAGGUUGUUGGCGGGGUAACGGCCCACCAAGCCUUCGAUGGAUAGGGGUUCUGAGAGGAAGGUCCCCCACAUUGGAACUGAGACACGGUCCAAACUCCUACGGGAGGCAGCAGUGAGGAAUAUUGGUCAAUGGACGAGAGUCUGAACCAGCCAAGUAGCGUGAAGGAUGACUGCCCUAUGGGUUGUAAACUUCUUUUAUACGGGAAUAAAGUGAGGCACGUGUGCCUUUUUGUAUGUACCGUAUGAAUAAGGAUCGGCUAACUCCGUGCCAGCAGCCGCGGUAAUACGGAGGAUCCGAGCGUUAUCCGGAUUUAUUGGGUUUAAAGGGAGCGUAGGCGGACGCUUAAGUCAGUUGUGAAAGUUUGCGGCUCAACCGUAAAAUUGCAGUUGAUACUGGGUGUCUUGAGUACAGUAGAGGCAGGCGGAAUUCGUGGUGUAGCGGUGAAAUGCUUAGAUAUCACGAAGAACUCCGAUUGCGAAGGCAGCCUGCUGGACUGUAACUGACGCUGAUGCUCGAAAGUGUGGGUAUCAAACAGGAUUAGAUACCCUGGUAGUCCACACAGUAAACGAUGAAUACUCGCUGUUUGCGAUAUACAGUAAGCGGCCAAGCGAAAGCGUUAAGUAUUCCACCUGGGGAGUACGCCGGCAACGGUGAAACUCAAAGGAAUUGACGGGGGCCCGCACAAGCAGUGGAGUAUGUGGUUUAAUUCGACGCAACGCGAAGAACCUUACCAAGUCUUGACAUCCUGCGACGCACAUAGAAAUAUGUGUUUCCUUCGGGACGCAGAGACAGGUGGUGCAUGGUUGUCGUCAGCUCGUGUCGUGAGAUGUUGGGUUAAGUCCCGCAACGAGCGCAACCCCUGUUCUUAGUUGCCAGCAUGUAAAGAUGGGAACUCUAAGAAGACUGCCGUAGACAAUACGGAGGAAGGUGGGGAUGACGUCAAAUCAUCAUGCCCUUUAUGUCCUGGGCUACACACGUACUACAAUGGCUAUAACAAAGAGAAGCGAGACCGCGAGGUGGAGCAAAACUCAAAAAAGUAGUCUCAGUUCGGAUUGUAGACUGAAAUUCGUCUACAUGAAGCUGGAAUUGCUAGUAAUGGCAGGUCAGCAUACUGCCGUGAAUACGUUCCCGGGCCUUGUACACACCGCCCGUCACACCAUGAGAGUUGGGGAUACCCGAAGCCUGUGAGCCAACAGUAAUGAGGCAGCAGUCGAAGGUAGAAUCAAUGAUUGGGGUG